UGUGGCUCAGUCGGUAGAGCAGCUGAUUCGUAAUCAGCAGGUCGCCGGUUCAAGUCCGGCCAGU
rnacentral:tRNA from 1 species